CCUUCAUUAAUUACUUUUAACAAUUAACACCUGGCGCCCCACACACAGGCAGCGUGAGCGCAGUACAGGAAGGAGUCAUUUCGGACGUUCAGACACGGAAGCAAGUCGUUUAACCUAAAAGAGAUGGCAUUACCAACCCCUGAUGAUGAACACAUCCCGCCACCAGAGAGACUGACAACACCUUUAAAACAGAUGCCUCAUCACGACAUUCUUCCAAUUUCACUUGCAGGUAAAGCUGACCAGAAAAGGCGACCCUGGACAUGGAAAGAGGUGAAGGCUGUCAAGAAGCACAUGAAGCGAUUUAUCCCUUCUGGUAUUGUACCAGCACAGAGUCCAUCCAUCCAUUCGCUACCGCUUAUUCCCUUUUGGGGUGGCGGGGGGCGCUGGCGCCUAUCUCAGCUACAGUCGGGCGGAAGGCGGGGUACACCCUGGACAAGUCGCCACCUCAUCGCAGGGCCAAAACAGAUAGACAGACAACAUUCACACUCACAUUCACACACUAGGGCCAAUUUAGUGUUGCCAAUCAACCUAUCCCCAGGUGCAUGUCUUUGGAAGUGGGAGGAAGCCGGACUACCCGGAGGGAACCCACGCAUUCACGGGGAGAACAUGCAAACUCCACACAGAAAGAUCCCGAGCCUGGAUUUGAACCCAAGUCUGCAGGACCUUCGUAUUGUGAGGCAGACGCACUAACCCCUCUGCCACCGUGAAGCCCCAGCACAGAGUGACUGUUUGAAAUGAUUAAGGGCCGAACCGGAAGCUCUCCAAAACCGGGAAUGGCAAGCAUUGAAGUUCUAUGUCUACAUCCGCAUUACGGCCUACAAAAGGAGAUGGUAAAUGGGUUGUACUUGUAUAGCGCUUUUCUACCCUUUUUAAAGGAGCCCAAAACGCUUUGACACUAUUUCCACAUUCGCCCAUUCACACACACAUUCACACACUGAUUGCAGGUAAAAUAGUAAAUCAAGAUAAUCAGCAAGAUUGGUUAAGUGGAACAGUUUUUUUUAUUUAUGUUAAUGUUCAAUUUUGUUCAAAAUAAAGUUAAAAUGAAAGUUUAAAUGAGUUUUCUUGAAAAGUUAAACGUGUUAUCAUGGCAUUAAUGGUACCAUAAUUCUGUAUAGUAUCGAUCCUUAGUUAAAACUAAUAUAUUUUUCCCUUGUCUCCUCAAGUGAUGAUGAAAAACUUGGUCCCCAUUCCAAAUAAUAACCUGUGUGUGUGUUCUUGUAUUCCUACCCUUCUUGAGAGGCCCGGGGCCGCAAUGUGCGUUCGAAGUGUCGAUGAUCAAUGUGCCCUACGAUUCACAUUAGUUCUCGCAGCUUACUGCGUCCAUCAACGCACGAACCGAGUGAUCCACCGCUGAGUGUUGUGAGACAUCAACAAGGAAAAGUACCUUCCAUAUGAAGACCGGUGAACUGGCACGUGCACACA